rnacentral:misc_RNA from 1 species
AAUCUUCAACCAUUCGUCUCGUCUUGUCUCCAAGACAGUGACUCAUGGCUUGGAUCUUGGAGGUUGCCGGCCUUUGUCUUCGUCGGCUCUUCUGAAAUACAUUAGCGAAUGUGAUAGGGUCACUCAGUGACGGCCUCUCUUUCGACGACGUCAUAAUGAUCGUCGUCCACACGGGAGGGGCUGGAGUGUAGGAUCUGAUCGUUCGCUUCCAAUCCAAACCCCGUCAAUCAAAUCGAUAAUCUCUCGUCUGUGUCUGUCGUCGUCCUCGCAUGACUUCAUUCCCAUUCGAUCGAUCUCUCCUUUGUUUGAACCCUGACUGAACCU